rnacentral:rRNA from 1 species
ACUCCUACGGGAGGCAGCAGUGGGGAAUAUUGGACAAUGGGCGAAAGCCUGAUCCAGCCAUGCCGCGUGUGUGAAGAAGGUCUUCGGAUUGUAAAGCACUUUAAGUUGGGAGGAAGGGCAUUAACCUAAUACGUUAGUGUUUGACGUUACCGACAGAAUAAGCACCGGCUAACUCUGUGCCAGCAGCCGCGGUAAUACAGAGGGUGCAAGCGUUAAUCGGAAUUACUGGGCGUAAAGCGCGCGUAGGUGGUUUGUUAAGUUGGAUGUGAAAUCCCCCGGGCUCAACCUGGGAACUGCAUUCAAAACUGACUGACUAGAGUAUGGUAGAGGUGGUGGAAUUUCCUGUGUAGCGGUGAAAUGCGUAGAUAUAGGAAGGAACACCAGUGGCGAAGGCGACACCUGGACUAAUACUGACACUGAGGUGCGAAAGCGUGGGAGCAAACAGGAUUAGAUACCCUGGUAGCGACUGA